GAUGAAGAACGUAGCGAAAUGCGAUACUUGGUGUGAAUUGCAGAAUCCCGUGAACCAUCGAGUCUUUGAACGCAAGUUGCGCCCGAAGCCACUAGGCCGAGGGCACGCCUGCCUGGGCGUCACACGCCGUUGCCCCCCCAUCUACUCCUUCGGGAUUGCGGGGGGGCGGAUGAUGGCCUCCUGUGCGCCUAGCCGCGCGGUUGGCAUAAAUACCAAGUCCUCGGCGACGCACGCCCCGACAAUCGGUGGUUGCGAAACCUCGGUUGCCCGUCGUGUGCGUUCGUCGCGCAUCGAGGGCUCGAAAAAAUGCUCGGCUCCGGCUGGGCUUUCAACGCGACCCCAGGUCAGGCGGGGUUACCCGCUGAAUUUAAGCAUAUCAAUAAGCGGAGGA
rnacentral:misc_RNA from 1 species